rnacentral:rRNA from 1 species
AACGCUAGCUACAGGCUUAACACAUGCAAGUCGAGGGGAAACGACAUCGAAAGCUUGCUUUUGAUGGGCGUCGACCGGCGCACGGGUGAGUAACGCGUAUCCAACCUGCCCACCACUUGGGGAUAACCUUGCGAAAGUAAGACUAAUACCCAAUGAUAUCUCUAGAAGACAUCUGAAAGAGAUUAAAGAUUUAUCGGUGAUGGAUGGGGAUGCGUCUGAUUAGCUUGUUGGCGGGGUAACGGCCCACCAAGGCAACGAUCAGUAGGGGUUCUGAGAGGAAGGUCCCCCACAUUGGAACUGAGACACGGUCCAAACUCCUACGGGAGGCAGCAGUGAGGAAUAUUGGUCAAUGGACGAGAGUCUGAACCAGCCAAGUAGCGUGCAGGAAGACGGCCCUAUGGGUUGUAAACUGCUUUUAUAAGGGAAUAAAGUGAGAGUCGUGACUCUUUUUGUAUGUACCUUAUGAAUAAGGACCGGCUAAUUCCGUGCCAGCAGCCGCGGUAAUACGGAAGGUCCGGGCGUUAUCCGGAUUUAUUGGGUUUAAAGGGAGCGUAGGCCGGAGAUUAAGCGUGUUGUGAAAUGUAGAUGCUCAACAUCUGAACUGCAGCGCGAACUGGUUUCCUUGAGUACGCACAAAGUGGGCGGAAUUCGUGGUGUAGCGGUGAAAUGCUUAGAUAUCACGAAGAACUCCGAUUG